GGCUUUUCUCCACACCUCCCCUGCGGAUGGAACAAAGGGUAUCGAGAAGAACAGUUCCAGAUUUUCAAGGUCUCUGAGAGAAAGGAUGAAGACCUAAAGGGGGAGGGGAGGAAUGAGGAGAUGAAAACAGACAUGUUCUGAAAGGCUUAAAACUCAAUAUCUGUGGGGUAGGUGCAUCGGUCAGGCAGUCCAUGAUGGUGAUGAAAAUCAGUGGACUAAUCACUGAUCCUUGGUGGACACCGACCUUCACUUCAAAACUGUCACUCAAUCCACCUGCACAUUUAACUUGUGUCCGCCAGUCCUUGUACGUGUCUUGGGUGAUUCUGACUUAGUUUUCUGGUACUCCUUUCAGUCUGAGGCAAUUCCACAAUUCUUCUCUUGGUACACGGUCGAAUGCUUUUUCAAGGUCAAUAAACACAGUGCAAGCUUUGCUGUCCUUCACGAAACUUUUCAAUCAGCUGGCAGAGAGCAUAAAUGGCAUCGGUGGUGCUUCUUCCCGGCAUGAAUCCAAACUGGUGAUCGCUGAAUAAAACUAUUAAUUUCUUAAAACAAUUUUUACUGUCUCUAAACUUUUGAACAGUAGUGUAUUUCUCAGUUAAAAAAAAAGUUGUUGGCCCAUUUCAUAUAAAUAUACUGACUUUAUACCUAUCAGACUUUGAACAUAUUAUUCCUGACAAUGAAAAAAAAUAGUAGUGGUUUGAAAACUAUUCAGUGAUAUAAGUAUUAAACCCAUG
ensembl:lncRNA